rnacentral:rRNA from 1 species
UGUGCUAAUACCGCAUAAUCUCUCAGGAGAAAAGCAGGGGAUCGCAAGACCUUGCGCUUUAGGAGCGGCCGAUGCCUGAUUAGCUUGUUGGUAAGGUAAAAGCUCACCAAGGCUUCGAUCAGUAGCUGGUCUGAGAGGACGACCAGCCACACUGGGACUGAGACACGGCCCAGACUCCUACGGGAGGCAGCAGUGGGGAAUUUUGGACAAUGGGGGAAACCCUGAUCCAGCCAUGCCGCGUGAGUGAAGAAGGCCUUCGGGUUGUAAAGCUCUUUCAGCCGGAACGAAACAGU